rnacentral:misc_RNA from 1 species
GAUGAAGAACGCAGUGAAAUGCGAUAAGUAAUGUGAAUUGCAGAAUUUAGUGAAUCAUCGAAUCUUUGAACGCACAUUGCGCCCCUUGGUAUUCCGGGGGGCAUGCCUGUUCGAGCGUCAUUUCACCACUCAAGCCUCGCUUGGUAUUGGGCAUCGCGGUCCGCCGCGCGCCUCAAAUCGACCGGCUGGGUCUUCUGUCCCCUAAGCGUUGUGGAAACUAUUCGCUAAAGGGUGUUCGGGAGGCUACGCCGUAAAACAACCCCAUUUCUAAGGUUGACCUCGGAUCAGGUAGGGAUACCCGCUGAACUUAAGCAUAUCAAUAAGCGGAGGA